rnacentral:rRNA from 1 species
CAAUAGCGUAUAUUAAAGUUGUUGCGGUAAAAAAGCUCGUAGUUGGAUUUCUACCGAAGAUAGCCGGUCGGGUCUUCGACCUUGUAUCUGGUUUUGUCUUUGGUAUCCUCAUAGGGAACGUUUCUGCGCUUUAUUGCGUGGUGCGGUAUCUAUGACUUUUACUUUGAGGAAAUUAGAGUGUUCACGGCAGGCAAACGCCUUGAAUAUAUUAGCAUGGAAUAAUAACAUAGGAUCUUCGUCCUAUUUUGUUGGUUUCUAGGGCUAAGAUAAUGAUUAAUAGGGAUAAUUGGGGGCAUCUGUAUCAACGCGUCAGAGGUGGAAUUCUUGGAUUGCGUUGCGACAAACUACUGCGAAAGCAUUUGCCAGGGAUGUUUUCAUUGA